rnacentral:rRNA from 1 species
CAUCGGGAGCAGACCAACAGGGAUUGCCUCAGUAACGGCGAGUGAAGCGGCAACAGCUCAAAUUUGAAAGCUGGCCCCCCCCGGGGGUCCGCGUUGUAAUUUGUAGAGGAUGAUUCGGCGAGGGCUCCCGCCUAAGUCCCCUGGAACGGGGCGUCAUAGAGGGUGAGAAUCCCGUAUGCGGUGGGCUGCCUUAGCCAUGUGAAUCUCCUUCGACGAGUCGAGUUGUUUGGGAAUGCAGCUCUAAAUGGGAGGUAAAUUUCUUCUAAAGCUAAAUACCGGCCAGAGACCGAUAGCGCACAAGUAGAGUGAUCGAAAGAUGAAAAGCACUUUGGAAAGAGAGUUAAAAAGUACGUGAAAUUGUUGAAAGGGAAGCGCUUGCAGCCAGACUUGCCCGCAGUUGCUCAGCCGGUCUCCUGACCGGCGCACUCUUCUGCGGCCAGGCCAGCAUCAGUUCGGGCGGUCGGAUAAAGGCCCCGGGAACGUAGCUCCUCUCGGGGAGUGUUAUAGCCCGGGGUGGAAUGCGGCCAGCCUGGACUGAGGAUCUCGCUUCGGCUAGGAUGCUGGCGUAAUGGCUGUAAGCGGCCCGUCUUGAAACACGGACCAAGGAGUCUAACAUCUAUGCGAGUGUUUGGGUGUCAAACCCAUGCGCGUAAUGAAAGUGAACGGAGGUGGGAACCCUCGCGGGUGCACCAUCGACCGAUCCUGAUGUCUUCGGAUGGAUUUGAGUAAGAGCAUAGCUGUUGGGACCCGAAAGAUGGUGAACUAUGCCUGAAUAGGGUGAAGCCAGAGGAAACUCUGGUGGAGGCUCGCAGCGGUUCUGACGUGCAAAUCGAUCGUCAAAUUUGGGUAUAGGGGCGAAAGACUAAUCGAACCAUCUAGUAGCUGGUGCUGCGGCUUUCCCCCCCCCAGAGAGAAA